GGAAAGUCAUACACAAGGCUCAGGGCCACCCUCAAGGUUCUGUCAGCCUGCCCCUCCCUCCUGGGAUUGCCUCUCCCAGCCAGGCCUCCCCAGUCUGGGUCUGGAAAUGACCCUGCUUUGGGUCACAUGAGAGCAGAAACCUGGCGCAGGGAGGGAUCAAUUACAUUGUGACUCAGCGAGAGGGCACAGAGCCAGGCAGUGAGUCACAGAGCUCGCCCACCCUUCCCCUUCCCCGGGAGGGGCUGCGCCAUGCAGACCUGUGUGGGAGCCUCCCCUGGGUCUGGGCGUGCAGAUGUAUGGGUGCAGGCCCCCCAACAGUGGGAAGGCGAUGGUCGGUGUGCGCUACGGUGUGGACCCCUUCCUAAUCCUGAAUGCAGGAAUUUAUUACCUCUUCAUGACGAUCACAGGCAAUGUUAUCAUGCCCAUGUUUCGGAUGACGAAGCUGAGGCUCUCAGAGCAGGACUCCUAUGGCCAGCUUCGUAGCCACCGCCUCCUGGUCAAGCUCUUGUCAGCAUCCAGCUCCUGGGUGAGUGAGCAGGAGGGGUCCACUCAAGGAGCCACCUCAUUCCUUCAUGUCACCUGCACAGCCUGUGGACACUGAGUUUCUUAACCCCAGCACGAUCUGAAGGAUUGCGUGUUAGACUGAGGAGGUCUGGCAGCGGCAGCUGGGAAAAUUAAAACUAGAGAGCCCUGUAGAAGCUGUGGAUCCAGCAUCAUUAUCAGCGAAAUUGUGGCUGUGAUAAAGCAACGUUUACCUACAGCAUUGUGUGUGUGAUAACUACAACUUACUAUUCCAGUUUCUAAAGUGAGCCAAGUCUCUGAAAACCUCAGGGCUCAUGUACAUUAAAUUAACAUAAUUAAAAACUAAUUAGUAAAACAUCACAAUUAAAAGGACUCGCUGUGGCAACACCUCUCAGGUAAGAAGGUGCUGGGGAGGGCCGGCAGCCAGUACAGGGGGCAGGCCCCAGGAAGAGGCCGUGAUGUGGGCCCAUCCUCCCAGAAGGCUUCCCGCACCCCGGAGCACCUUGAGAAACAGUUCUGCAGCAAGUGAGGACAUCUCCUGCGGGUCCAAC
rnacentral:lncRNA from 1 species